GCAGCUGCAGAGGGCAUUACAUACUCUAUGAAGCUGCAGAGGGCAUUACACACUCAGGGGGAGCUGCAGAGGGCAUUACACACUCAGUGGGAGGUGCAGGGGGCAUUACACACUCUAUGAAGAUGCAGAGGGCAUUACACACUCCGUGGGAGCUGCAGAGGGCAUUACACACUC